GGUUGAUCCUGCCAGUAGUCAUAUGCUUGUCUCAAAGAUUAAGCCAUGCAUGUCUAAGUAUAAAUGAAAUUUAUAAAGUGAAACUGCGAAUGGCUCAUUAAAUCAGUUAUUGUUUAUUUGACUAUUAAACAUUAUAUGGAUAACCGUAAUAAUUUUAGAGCUAAUACAUGAAAAAGGGCUGUUCCGAUGGCCAGAAUUUAUUAGAUACCAAAACCUUUUUAUAAAAGAUGAAUCAUAAUAACUUUAGUACUAGGAAUCAAAAAAAUAUUUUUGAUGCUUCAUUCAAAUUU
rnacentral:rRNA from 1 species